rnacentral:rRNA from 1 species
GAUGAACGCUGACAGAAUGCUUAACACAUGCAAGUCAACUUGAACUUCGGUUUGGGUGGCGGACGGGUGAGUAACGCGUAAAGAACUUGCCUCACAGCUAGGGACAACAUUUGGAAACGAAUGCUAAUACCUGAUAUUAUGAUUUUAGGGCAUCCUAGAAUUAUGAAAGCUAUAUGCACUGUGAGAGAGCUUUGCGUCCCAUUAGCUAGUUGGAGAGGUAACGGCUCACCAAGGCGAUGAUGGGUAGCCGGCCUGAGAGGGUGAACGGCCACAAGGGGACUGAGACACGGCCCUUACUCCUACGGGAGGCAGCAGUGGGGAAUAUUGGACAAUGGACCAAGAGUCUGAUCCAGCAAUUCUGUGUGCACGAUGAAGUUUUUCGGAAUGUAAAGUGCUUUCAGUUGGGAAGAAAAAAAUGACGGUACCAACAGAAGAAGUGACGGCUAAAUACGUG